ACGAGUCAACAGCACCAACUCCAACCGGGCUUGGUACUUCACCAACGGAGCACAGAGAAGACCGAAAUGAUCAGUCCAACCUGAAGCUUUCAAUGGACAGAACAGUAAAGAAUAAAUGAAGACAACAAGCCUAGAGAAGCCACCCAGUGAGGGCAACUAACCCUACCCCUUGAAGUCCAGGAGUUUAUAAAAAGAGAGCACUCC